CUUAAGGGCUUUGUAAAAAAGGAAGCACGUAAUAUAUGAUACACCCGCCAAAUGCCCUUUGGAAGAAGGCACAGGGCCAGAGCCAGUAGUCUGUGCCAAGAUUACACAUCCCCCUUUCUCCCUAAAUCCUAAAGGGUUCUUCAGAAUCCCCGUGAAGUCCCAGGCAGGAGGCGUUGCAGCGCUCCAGCCUGAACCGCUGAGGCCCCACGCCCAUCGGGGUCAGUAGGGGGCGCUGCGCCUCCACCGCGAACAGCGGACGUCGCUGGACAGCCGGGCGCCGAGGGGCGGGGCCGCCAUAGGCGCCGCCAAGCCCUGACCGCGCAGGGCAGGUGAGAGUCCUCAAACAAAGCUCAGGUGGCUUCACAGGAUUCUGGUCGGAAUAAAAUCAGCAAGGCUGUACGAAACCCAUCAUUUAUGAGGUCUGGCCUCUGCUUCCACGCCCACCUUCGCCCGUGAUUCUGCGAAGCCAAGGCGCUCCUCGCCAGCUCAUUUUGCAUUUUUAACGGGUUCAAAGCCUCUUGGCAGAGCUGUUUUCCCAUUAGGUUAUAACAGUUGAAGCAACACGGCCUCUGCUCUAGGAAAAGAGGCGUGGUGGUUGCCUAGCGUUUGCAAAGCAGCCACCCAUGGCCAACCUCCCGCACCCACCCUACAGUCUCUAUCCGCCUGGGUCUAGGCAGCGCCGGGGCGGCCCCCAGAGUGGCCAAGGAAUCAAGCACACAAAACAAUCCCGACCGAAACACAUGAACCGUCUUUUCCUGACCAUCUGGACACGUUCUUCAAGGACCCUACCGUCUUCCUACCCCGGGGAUACCAUUUAAAACUCAAGAUGGUAAUUACACAGACAGGAAUUCGUCAAGAUUCUCCGGAACUACUCCUCUGAAACUGGAAUCUGGCCGCGCUGCUCUCCACCGAAUGCGCAUCGGGCGCGACCAAGAGGAAGGGAAGCGUCGGGACUAAAGAAAGCCACCAAAGAAAUGACCCAGAAUCACAGGUAGAAUUUACCUGUCCAUUCGCUUUGGAAGGC